rnacentral:rRNA from 1 species
CGGCUAACCUCCCGGUGCCCAAGCCAGCCGCGGGUAAUACGGAGGGUGCAAGCGUUACCCGGAUUUACUGGGUGUAAAGGGCGUGUAGGCGGCUUUUCAAGUCCGAUGCUAAAGACUGAGGCUCAACCUCAGGAGUGCGUUGGAUACUGUGAGGCUAGACGGUCGGAGAGGGUAGCGGAAUUCUCGGAGUAGCGGUGAAAUGCGCAGAUACCGAGAGGAACGCCAAUAGCGAAAGCAGCUACCUGGACGAUUAGUGACGCUGAGGCGCGAAAGCGUGGGGAGCAAACCGGAUUAGAUACCCGGGUAGUCCACGCCCUAAACGAUGAGUGCUGGGUGUCCGGCGUAUGCUGGGUGCCGUAGCUAACGCGUUAAGCACUCCACCUGGGAAGUACGGUCGCAAGACUGAAACUCAAAGGAAUUGACGGGGGCCCGCACAAGGGGUGGAGCAUGUGGUUUAAUUCGAAGCGACGCGAAGAACCUUACCAGGUCUUGACAUGUAAGGAAUCUCCCUGAAAGGGGAGAGUGCCCGCAAGGGAGCCUUAGCACAGGUGCUGCAUGGUCGUCGUCAGCUCGUGUCGUGAGAUGUUGGGUUAAGUCCCGCAACGAGCGCAACCCU